GGGCCCUUAGCUCAGCUGGUCAGAGCGGUCGGCUCAUAACCGAUUGGUCGCGGGUUCGAAUCCUGCAGGGCCCAUCA
rnacentral:tRNA from 1 species